AGGAGCUUAGGUUCAACCUAAACCGAAGGCCUUCAAAGCCUUAAACAAGAGUCAAAUCCUCUUAGCUUCUG
rnacentral:tRNA from 1 species